rnacentral:tRNA from 1 species
AAUGAAGUGCCUGAUCAAAGGAAUAUCUUGAUAGGAUAUACAACGUAAUAUUUUACCUUCAUUA